UACGUAGGGGGCAAGCGUUGUCCGGAUUUAUUGGGCGUAAAGAGCGUGUAGGCGGCCACACAGGUCUGCUGUGAAAACUCGAGGCUCAACCUCGAGCUGUCGGUGGAGACCGUGUGGCUAGAGUCCGGAAGAGGAGAGUGGAAUUCCCGGUGUAGCGGUGAAAUGCGCAGAGUAUCGGGAAGAACACCCGUGGCGAAGGCGGCUCUCUGGGACGGUACUGACGCUGAGACGCGAAAGCGUGGGGAGCGAACAGG
rnacentral:rRNA from 1 species